rnacentral:rRNA from 1 species
UACAGAGGUCUCAAGCGUUGUUCGGAUUCAUUGGGCGUAAAGGGUGUGUAGGUGGCGCCGUAAGUCGGGUGUGAAAUUUCGGAGCUUAACUCCGAAACUGCAUUCGAUACUGCCGUGCUUGAGGACUGGAGAGGAGACUGGAAUUCCUGGUGUAGCGGUGAAAUGCGCAGAUAUCAGGAGGAACACCGGUGGCGAAGGCGGGUCUCUGGGCCGUAACUGGACGCUGGAGGAGCGAAAGCGUGGGGAGCGAACAGGA